rnacentral:rRNA from 1 species
GAUGAACGCUGGCGGCGUGCCUAACACAUGCAAGUCGAACGCUGAAGUAAAGACAAAUUCCUUCGGGGAGGCGGAAUUACAACGGAGUGGCGGACGGGUGAGUAACGCGUGGAUAAUCUGCCCUUAACAGGGGAAUAACUGUGAGAAAUCAUGGCUAAUACCGCAUAAGCCUACGGUACGGCAUCGUACAGUGGGAAAAGAUUUAUCGGUUAAGGAGGAGUCCGCGUCUGAUUAGCUGGUUGGUGGGGUAAGGGCCUACCAAGGCGAUGAUCAGUAGCCGGCCUGAGAGGGUGAACGGCCACAUUGGGACUGAGACACGGCCCAAACUCCUACGGGAGGCAGCAGUGGGGAAUAUUGCACAAUGGGGGAAACCCUGAUGCAGCAACGCCGCGUGAAGGAAGAAGGGUUUCGGCUCGUAAACUUCUAUCGACAGGGAAGAAAGAAAUGACGGUACCUGAAUAAGAAGCCCCGGCUAACUACGUGCCAGCAGCCGCCGUAACAC